AACGAACGCUGGCGGCAUGCCUAACACAUGCAAGUCGAACGAACCCUUCGGGGUUAGUGGCGCACGGGUGCGUAACGCGUGGGAAUCUGCCCUUUGCUUCGGAAUAACUCAGGGAAACUUGUGCUAAUACCGGAUGAUCUCUUCGGACCAAAGAUUUAUCGGCAAGGGAUGAGCCCGCGUAGGAUUAGGUAGUUGGUGGGGUAAAGGCCUACCAAGCCGACGAUCCUUAGCUGGUCUGAGAGGAUGAUCAGCCACACUGGGACGGAGACACGGCCCAGACUCCUACGGGAGGCAGCAGUGGGGAAUAGUGGACAAUGGGCGCAAGCCUGAUCCAGCAAGGCCGCGUGAGUGAUGAAGGCCCUCGGGUCGUAAAGCUCUUUUACCAGGGAUGAUAAUGACAGUACCUGGAGAAUAAGCUCCGGCUAACUCCGUGC
rnacentral:rRNA from 1 species